rnacentral:rRNA from 1 species
GAUCCUGGCUCAGGAUGAACGCUGGCGGCGUGCUUAACACAUGCAAGUCGAACGGGAAACUUUUCAUUGAAGCUUCGGCAGAUUUGGUCUGUUUCUAGUGGCGGACGGGUGAGUAACGCGUGGGUAACCUGCCUUAUACAGGGGGAUAACAACCAGAAAUGGUUGCUAAUACCGCAUAAGCGCACAGGACCGCAUGGUCCGGUGCGAAAAACUCCGGUGGUAUAAGAUGGACCCGCGUUGGAUUAGCUAGUUGG